ensembl:snoRNA
AUUGAGGUCUAUCCAAUGGGGCUUUUUCUGUAGACUCACAUUAUUGGAAAUGGCUUGUCAAGUAACUAUGUGGUUUGCUUUACUCACAGAACUAUUUGUUAGAUCUGUGGGAAAGAACUACAAUACAGAG